rnacentral:rRNA from 1 species
UACAGCCAUGCCACCCCCAACGCCCCCGUAUCCGGUCUGAUCUCAGAAGCUAAACAGUGUCUGGCCUGGUUAGGACUUGGAUGGGAGACCACCUAGGAAGACCAGGUGCUUGCUGUAG